CUACGGAGGGUGCAAGCGUUACUCGGAAUCACUGGGCGUAAAGCGCGCGCAGGCGGCUAUUUAAGUUGGAUGUGAAAGCCUACGGCUCAACCGUAGAACUGCAUCCAAAACUAUUUAGCUAGAGUGUGGGAGAGGAAGAUGGAAUUAGUUGUGUAGGGGUAAAAUCCGUAGAGAUAACUAGGAAUACCAAAAGCGAAGGCAAUCUUCUGGAACACUACUGACGCUGAGGCGCGAAAGCGUGGGGAGCAAACGGGAUUAGAUACCCUAGUAGUCC
rnacentral:rRNA from 1 species